CUCCUCUUCUUUGUGCCGCCGACAAUUGGAAACCCUAAGGUCUCCUCUUCUUUCUUUCCUUUGCAAGUUAUCGGGCUACUUCCUCAUUCAGACGGCCGCAGCAAGAGAAAAUCCUUAAGGGUUUCUCAUUCUCGAGUUCUUCAUUGCCGCCGAAAUUCCACAUGCAAAUUAGCCAAAAUGAAUCAGAUCCUUCAAAAUUGAACAUCUCGUAUUACAUUGAUAAAACAUUGUACUCAACUCCAACUUGGUCCCUCAAUUUCUUGAUGGAAGUAACUACUACACUUGGGCAAGAUCCAUGGAACGAGCAUUGAGUAUGCAAAACAAAUUAGGUUUUAUAGAUGGAGCCCUAGCAAGACCUAGAGGUUCAGUGGAUCCACUAAGAAAAUGUUGGAAAUGAUGUAGUGACUGUAAUUAUUUGGAUACAUAAUGCACUUUCGCCUAAUAUUAUGUUUAGUACAUUCUAUGUUGAAAUAACUUGUCAAUUAUGGUCUGAUUUGGAGCAAAGACAUGCUCAAUAGAAUGCACCAAGAGUGUAUCAAAUCAAACAGUCUAUAGUUGCAC